ACUAAGUUACUCCGGGCCUCAUUAAAUUGCUGACACUGGUUUGAACUUUCAAUCUUCCUGCCUCAGCCUCCGGAACCACAGGGAUUACAGGUGGUGUCCACCGUGCCUAGCUCAAAAAGUCUCUUAGGACAUUGGGUGAUCCUUCCGUGGAGAAACUGAACUCCAGGGAUAAGACCUUUUCUGACACUGGAGAAGAGACCUACCUACACCAAAACUUGAGGAUACUAAACGAAGAAGCUAGCUAGCUACCUGCUUAUGUCACCAUGAAGGCCACCAGAAGACAAUGCCACUCCCACACAAAUAGCUUCCAAACAGCUUAUAACUACCUUACUUUAACUUCUAACUGUAUGAACAAAGAUCACUGGAGGUGUGAAUGACGCCUCCAACAAGGCAAUUAGAAACCAGAACAGGAACAACCACAACUUGGGUGGUGGGAGGAAGCAAAGCUUUCCGAGAAAGAAAAAAAAGAAUAAUUCCCACUGGCUGAGGGAAAGAAAGGUACUGGACUUCUCAGCAACUGAAGCCAGGAUUAGACAAGCAGAUAGGCAAGGGCUGGAUCCAGAGAAUGGAGGAAUUGAAAUGUUAAUUCCUUUGGAGCCCUUCCUCCACUCGGAUCAAGAUAACCUGCUCCAACCAGUUGCCAAGGUAACCUGUCCCACAGAUUGUCUCCCCACAGGGAGUUGUUAAUUACCCCCCCUUCCUGCCCAGAUAACUCCAGCUUGCCCCCUCUAGCCCAUCUGCUUCUCACCUUUUGGCCAUCCACCGAGCAUCCCCUGGGCCUAGUGGAGUAAGCAGGACGUGGAGAGAGAUCAGGGGAAGAGAGCAGGAGAAAGGAAGCUUAAGACCAAUAAAGAGGCCGAACACCUUCACUUCUUGGGAUACCAGGAUACCAGCUAUGGCCCUUUGCUCCCUCCUGGACGAAGUCUGUUACCCCUUUUUAAAUAAACCUUGCCUCUGAGUGUU